AUAUUACCUGAAAGGGGUGAUACCAUGAUCACGAAGGCGGUUUUCCCAGGGUGAGCCUUCUCCAUUGCAUUCCGAUGUGCUGAUCCUUGCAAUUUCCCCAAAUGUGGAAAACUUGACUGCAUAAUUUGUGGUAGUGGGGGACUGCGUUUGCACUCUCCCUCC